UACGAAGGGUGCAAGCGUUACUCGGAAUUACUGGGCGUAAAGCGUGCGUAGGUGGUUCGUUAAGUCUGUCGUGAAAGCCCCGGGCUCAACCUGGGAAUGGCGAUGGAUACUGGCGGGCUAGAGUGCGGUAGAGGAGAGUGGAAUUCCCGGUGUAGCAGUGAAAUGCGUAGAGAUCGGGAGGAACAUCAGUGCGAAGCGCUCUCGUGGACCAGCACUGACACUGAGGCACGAAAGCGUGGGGAGCAAACAGG
rnacentral:rRNA from 1 species